UACGGGGGGAGCAAGCGUUGUUCGGAUUUACUGGGCGUAAAGGGCGCGUAGGCGGCCUGCUAAGUCGAACGUGAAAUCCCUGGGCUCAACUCAGGAACUGCGUCCGAUACUGGUUGGCUUGAAUCCGGGAGAGGGAUGUGGAAUUCCAGGUGUAGCGGUGAAAUGACGUAGAUAUCUGGAGGAACACCGGUGGCGAAGGCGACAUCCUGGACCGGUAUUGACGCUGAGGCGCGAAAGCCAGGGGAGCAAAGCGGG
rnacentral:rRNA from 1 species